AUAUAUUUUUAUUUUAUAAUUCAAAGUUAUGCUUUUAGGUCGUUGAAGUGUCUUCUUUCAGGUGUGCAGAUAAGAGGUGGGGUUUUUAGUUGGUAGGCAACCGAGACAAGGAUAAGACAGAUUUGUAAUAGAUCUAACUGUUUCUCAGUCUCGGUUGAAUCCAACACUCCCUCUUGGUACAGGCCAAGAGAAAUCUUUGGAAGAUUUUCCCCAUCUACGAAC
rfam:Solenopsis invicta Si_gnG.contig29468, whole genome shotgun sequence.